UUCCGGCUGAUCCUGCCGGAGGCUACCGCUAUUGGAGUUCGAUUAAGCCAUGCGAGUCGCGAGUCUUAGGGACUCGGCGUACCGCUCAGUAACACGUGGGUAACCUGCCCUAUGCUGGGGGAUAACCUCGGGAAACUGAGAAUAAUACCCCAUAGUUCACCACGCCUGGAACGGUGGGUGGAUGAAAGCUCCGGCGGCAUAGGAUGGGCCUGCGGCGUAUCAGGUUGUAGGGGGUGUAAUGUACCCUCUAGCCCUCUACGCGUACGGGUGUUGAGAGACAUCGCCCGGAGAUGGAUUCUGAGACACGAAUCCAGACCCUACGGGGUGCAGCAGGCGCGAAAACUUGGCAAUGCGAGAAAUCGUGACCAGGGAACUCCAAGUGCAUCGGGUAAGACCGAUGCUUUUCUUGACUCUUCAAAGGUCUUGGAAUAAGGGGUGGGUAAGGACGGUGCCAGCCGCCGCGGUAAUACCGGCGCCCCAAGUGGUAGUCGCUUUUAUUGGGCCUAAAACGUCCGUAGCCGGUUUGGUACAUUCGUGGGUAAAUCAACCCGCUCAACUGGUUGAAUUCUGCGAGCACGGCCAGACUUGGGACCGGGAGAGGUGUGGGGUACUCUCAGGGUAGGGGUAAAAUCCUGUCAUCCUGAGAGGACCACCUGUUGCGAAGGCGCCACACUAGAACGGAUCCGACGGUCAGGGACGAAGCCUAGGGGCACGAACCGGAUUAGAUACCCGGGUAGUCCUAGGUGUAAACGCUGUGGACUUGAUGUUGGGGGUGCUCCGAGCGCCCUCAGUGUCGAAGCGAAGGUGAUAAGUCCACUGCCUGGGGAGUACGGUCGCAAGGCUGAAACUUAAAGGAAUUGGCGGGGGAGCACCGCAACCUGAGGAUUGUGCGGUUUAAUUGGAUUCAACGCCGG
rnacentral:rRNA from 1 species